UACGUAGGCUGCAAGCGUUAUUCGGAUUCACUGGGCGUAAAGGGUGCGCAGGCGGCCGUGUGUGUGAGGCGUGAAAGCCCGGGGCUUAACCCCGGAAUUGCACCUCAAACUACACGGCUAGAGCAUUGGAGAGGGUAGCGGAAUUCACGGUGUAGCAGUGAAAUGCGUAGAUAUCGUGAGGAACACCAGAGGCGAAGGCGGCUACCUGGACAAUUGCUGACGCUCAGGCACGAAAGCGUGGGGAGCAAAAGGG
rnacentral:rRNA from 1 species